CCUACGGGAGGCAGCAGUGAGGAAUAUUGGUCAAUGGGCGCGAGCCUGAACCAGCCAAGUAGCGUGAAGGAUGACUGCCCUACGGGUUGUAAACUUCUUUUAUAAAGGAAUAAAGUGAGGCACUUGUGCCUUUUUGUAUGUACUUUAUGAAUAAGCAUCGGCUAACUCCGUGCCAGCAGCCGCGGUAAUACGGAGGAUCCGAGCGUUAUCCGGAUUUAUUGGGUUUAAAGGGAGCGUAGAUGGGUUGUUAAGUCAGUUGUGAAAGUUUGCGGCUCAACCGUAAGAUUGCAAUUGAUACUGGCAGUCUGGAGUAGAGUUGAGGUAGGCGGAAUUCGUGGUGUAGCGGUGAAAUGCUUAGAUAUCGCGAAGAACUCCGAUUGCGAAGGCAGCUUACUAACCUGACACUGACAUUGAUGCACGAAAGUGUGGGUAUCGAACAGGAUUAGAUACCCCUGUAGUC
rnacentral:rRNA from 1 species